rnacentral:misc_RNA from 1 species
CUCAUCUCCACCGUUUUCCACGUUUCUCUCCAAAUUGCUGACAAUUCUUGGAUGUGAUUUUCAUUUUCAUUCAAUUUCUCCAAACCCUAACCCUACAAUCAAUCCUUCCUUCCCGGACGAGAAAAAUUCUGCAAAUGGAAAACGUCUCUUACUCUUCUUAUCCUGAUUCCGGCGACUCGUCUCCUCGCUCUCGCGAUAUCGACGAGAGCCAGUCGUGGGACGAGCUUCCGUCCAAUUACAAAAUCAAAUUAAUAUGUAGUUAUGGAGGUAAAAUCCAGCCGAGACACCACGAUAACCAACUCGCUUAUAUGGGUGGUGAUACGAAGAUUCUCUCCGUCGAACGCAAUGUCAAGUUCUCGGUGAUUAUGAACAGGCUUACUUCUCUCUGUGGCGAUGCUGAUAUAUGCUUCAAGUAUCAGCUACCUGGUGAGGAUCUUGAUGCUUUGAUUUCUGUCACCAACGAUGAGGAUCUCGAGCACAUGAUGCUCGAGUAUGAUAGGUUGUAUCGCGCGUCGGCUAAGCCCGCGAGGUUGAGGCUAUUUCUGUUUCAUUUGAAUCCUUCGAGUUUUGGAUCUGAUGAAGUGAAGUCGGAGCGGCUUUGGUUUGUGGACGCUUUGAAUUUUGUGCCAGUGCAGAAUCAAGAAGUUUCUUCGCCUCCUGCGGCAGCGGUGGCGGCAACAGUGACGGCUGGGAAUCCAGACUUUCUCUUCGGGUUGGAAAAGGGGGCUGUUCCCGUCGCGAAAUUCAUGGAUACAGCGCCGCCACCGCCGACGGUGCCCGUUGGGAACGAUGUUUCCGCUGGAUCCGAGUGUGGAUCGGAGGAUCGGCACGUAAUUGGUGAUACGGUAAUUAAUCAACUGAACCCAGAUUUGCAAAAAUUGCAAAUAUCUGCUGCUCAGGAGCAGUCUAGAAAAAUUGAGGAGGCAAACUCUAGGGGUUAUGCUGUCAAGUACUGCGCUCAACAAGUUAAUGAAAAAAUUCCUCCCCAACCGUCACAGGUUGCGAUGCCGGUACUCAUUCCUGUUCCCGCCACCUACUUGCCGGAAAGGCACAUGAACGCUAGUGGUUAUACUAUUACUGUCCCUGGAACUGAGCAUACAGUUUAUCAAAUUCCUAUGGCGGCUGCUAUGUACCAAGCACCAGCAUUAAGAACGGUGACCGGACAAGUGGGUCAGGGAUAUUAUGGACUGCAGAGGGUUGUACAGGAAGUUUACAGAGAGCAGCCACUGUACAAUGCGGUACCGCCAACAACAACAGUACCUUCACUCCCACCACAACAACAAUCGCCAAUGGUAGGGGUUUACACCGAAGGGAUUGGAAUUGGACAGGCUAAAGUUGGAGUAGCCGAGCAGGGAUAUGUGCAGGUUGGUUACGACACUGCAGGGAGGCAGGUUUAUUAUACUACUACCCCAUAUCAGGCAGUUGCAGCAGAUAAUAGCGCAUUG